CCCGCGGCCGCGCCACGGCGGCUGUUGUUCCGCCCGCGGGCGGCCGCGCCCUCGGGCCGCUGCUCCCCGCAGCGCCGGCGGCGGCAGCUCCCGCAGGAGCGGCGGCGAGCCCGGCCCUGCCCGGCCGUGCGCUCCCUCGGGAGCGACCGUGCGGUCCGUCCGUCCGGAGCGGGCCGGGCCAAGUCCGAGCGCUGCCGCCGCCGGGUGCCGCGGGCCGGCGGGGCCCAGGACAGGCACUGCGGGGCUUCGUGAUCCCGAGUCCGUGUUCCCGGAGCCCCACGCGGCUGAAGACAGCAUUUCCCACAAGCAACGAUCAGUAUAUUUGCUUGUUUUCAUCCUCUUGAUUUCACCUUAAUUCUCUAGAGGUCAGACCGUGCUAUGGCAUACAAUAGUGGCGUGUUACCCGCCCGUGUCUGGAUAAAGGUGAGGCACCUACGGCCACAUGUAGGUCCAGAACGUUGGCUGAGUUGAUGCAUGACUUGUGUGCACUCACGCUGACUGAGCCUCAGAGGAUGUGCUAAGGACACGGUGGGUUUGUGUUGUUGGUCUUGCCGUACAAAAUAUGUCAAAUGCGUCUGGUGAAUCAGGGCUCAGGCGAGGUCAGGUCCUCCAAUGUCUGUGCAGUACCAGGUCUGUUUGUCAAGUGAUGACAUUUCUCACCUUUGUUUUCAGCAUCACCAAAUAUAGUCAUACUGAGGAAUUUCAGCAUCCAGAUGGGAUGAGGAAUUCUCUGAAUCAAUCCCAGGAUGUUACUGUCUCAACUCAUAAAGCUUUUGAACCAACCCCCUCCAUCAAAUGCUUUCCAUCUCUGCAGCAAAGGAGGCUGAGAUGGUACAGUCAGGAACUUCCUUCCUGCUGUCUGUACAACAGGUACACGACAGGUCAAAGUGGCAUCUCAAAAAGCAAACAUAUAGCACUGUGAAUGAAGCUAAACACGCAAACAAAGAACCCCCAAAAGCAGACUUCUGUCACGGGAUUUACCUAGACUACCACUGAACAACAGUGUGAGUGAGCCUUUUGGAUAUGCAGCAUGCUCCUGAACUAUCCAAAACAGUCCUGUCAUGACUAACAGUAGAAAAACUUACUCAUUUUAUGUCCUGUCUUGAGUGGGAUGGAGAUUCUUUACAACUAGUCUCGUGUCUGUUCACUUAAUGUCAAGAGAACAUAUUUUAUGUUUAUUAAGGCCCUGUGUUCUGGUGGUUAAGGUCUCUUCUGCUCCCAUACUCUUCCUGUAAUCUUCUCCUUAUUAUCAGCCCCCUAAUUUACAUCCCAUCUCAUCCCCUUCUGAUUCCUGGCUUCUGCACAGCUCCUGUCUGUAGACUUGUUCUCCUGCUGUCGUUCUUUCUAUAUCUGUACCCUCUGCUCUUCCUUUGUUCCAACUUUUACUAAAACUUUGGGGGACAGAAGAAGACUUGCUUAGGAGGCCUAGACAUUUAGUAGUCUUUUAUGAGAGAUGGAGUCUUAAGGAAAUUCUGCAGGUAAAUUUUAAAAUGUCAUCUGAGGGUAUUAAAAUUGAGUUUUUUGUUUAUGUUUUCCAUGUUUGGUUAGUUUUCCAUGAAACCAGUGUAAGAUUUAACUUCAAUUUGCCCAACUUCUUGAAGAAUUUAAAGGUGCCACUCGGUUGCAGGUGUUGGAAUUCUUUGAUAAUCAAAUUGUAAUAAAGUGUGUCAUCCUGGACAAAACUGGAAUUCCCUCUGAUUUUCUCUGUGAGAAACAGCUAAACCAUUCUAGCUAAAACAUGAAAAACAUUUUAAGUGUGUUCAUAUAGACUGAUGUGUAUUUAAGCCUUUGGAGAGCAACUGAACCAGUGGUCAUGACUCUUCUAGAUAAAACUUAAAUUUACUUAGAUUUGUUUAUCUUGAACUUGGUUGGGGGACUUAGGAAUGAAAGGAUAAGAUGUCUUGUUAUCCUUGUAUUUUUUUUCUCAUAUCUAAAAAGUGCUAGAGGGUAGCAUGAGUGCUCUUAAAAAUAGAAAGUCACUCAUGUAAGAGGCUAAAGCAUCAUCAGAGUUCAGUUAAAUGACAAAUAAAUGUGAGUCAGUGGGAUCAAGCUCUUUAAACAUUAGCCUCAUUCCAUAUUCUGUCUGUACUGUGCUGUGAGGAGGCCACAGGACUUCUUAAAUUUUUGAAAAUACUUGCAUGGCUUGCACAUUGCUGGUGUAAACUAAUUGCUCUAGAGAACAAGCCUCUGAAGGUGCUGAUGAAUGUGGAGCUAAUGCUGGGUGCUGUUUUAUGCAAACAGUUUUCUUCUGCUGGGAGAAGAGGAAUCAAGGAGUACUUGGGUUAGGAUGACGACUGUCAGUGUGGGAGGGUGGUAAUGAACCUCAGUUUUGCUGCCGAGUGCCAUUUUUCUGGUUUAAGUGGCUUCAGGAUAAGUGUAUCUCCAUGCUGGGAGCAGUUUGGUCAUUACUUGUUAAGGAUGGUAUUGAUUAAUAUUGAUAUCUGCUGCAAGGUAAAUGCUGCUGUAGUCUGAUGUGCUGAGGCUGCUACUGAUCAUGGUUGAUAGGAGUGUCUCAGCCUUUGUCUGACACUCUCUUCCCCCCUACCAUUUCAGUAACUGCUAUUAGAUACCAUGCCUCUUUUUGGGAGGUGCAGUAUCUAUAACCUUGUUGAACAUGACCGGGUUUCUCUGUAUUCUUUCCUUCUGUGGCAUGGAGAGUGCAAUAGGCUCUGGGGAACAGAGUCAAGCCUGUGUUACCUGGGUGAGCCAUCUCCCUACUUCAGAGAGCUUUCCUUUCAUCCUGAUGGGCCUGUGAGGGAGGGAAGGAGGAUGCUGGCUGAACAGAACCAUUCCCUUUUUUGUGCUGUUGGCAUUAAAGUGCAGGUUUGUCUGUUUUGGUCCUAACCAGGUCCAGUGACUCUCUUGUGAAGUAGAUCCAAAGCCCUGGGAUCUCACUGUGCUGCUACUGUCAGGAGACACAUGUGGUGGAGUCCCAUAUGGGACACCUCUCCAGAAAUACCCUGCACAGCUGGACAUAAAGCUUUUGCAGAUUUCUGUGGGCUUCUCUUUUACUUUCACUGGCUCUGUCUUACAAGUGGGAAGACAGGAGCCAGCUGGAGUUCAUGGUGUCCCUCAAAGUUGAGGUGUGUCAUUUUUUUGUGUGAAAAUUAAGCAAAUAGCCUGAUAAUGGCUUUUGUUCAGUUACAUUCAACUUGCUUUGCUAGAAGUUGAUAAAAGGUCGCCUUUUUGCAUGAAUAAAUACAACUGGAAAAAGUCACUCAGAUUGUCAAGUAACUUUUUUUCUCCUGUCUGGAAGCAACAGGAGGGCCCCUAGAAUUAAGACAAAUGUAGCUCAUGUCAUUUUAAUGGCAAUUUGAUUAUUCUUUCAUUACAAGUAACUAGUUCCCUUUUCUAAUUAUACGUUGUGCUUUUAUCUAAGAAAAAUUACCCAAUUUAUGGGAGUGGACGAUUAAAAUUGCUCAUCCAUUAACAGUUUAUUGUGCUAUGAGAUUGCUGGUUUCAGAAAACAUCAGUAUUGCAAUAGAUUUGUAUAGAUGUUUGGUUCUUCUGCCAUGUUGCCAGUGGUCAUGACAAAUGAGAAAGCAGGCAGUGGGGGUGGAUGUGCAAGGCAAAAAUGAUAAGGAGAGGUCAGAGAGCACAAACACUGCACAUGUUUAGUGUGCCUUUUAGGGAGUGAGAAGUAUUGGAAGGGAAAGGGACACUAAGGUAUAAGACCAAAAUGCAUAAAGAUGCACUGGUACUUGGAAAGGCUUCGGGUUUCAUAAAGAUUUAGUGAAUUCAGAGAGAGCUCUGUCUGUGUUUGACCUCUGCACUUCUUGGUUUUUUUCUCUCUCUUCUUCUCUUUCCCCUGCAACUGCCAUAAGAGCAUGUUAUUCAAAUGGGGGAAAGGACAUCAGUCAGCCAAGUGACACAGUGGAGACAGGAGAGGGGGCAUUGGAAUUGUAGUUGGGAUCAUGAUUUGAGAAAGCCUUGGGUCCUGCAGGGAGGUCACUGCAGGCAGGUCACUGCAGGCCAUUCCUGUUAGUUUUGUGAUGGGCUAGGGAUGCCAGCAGGCAAAGCAGGUGCAGGGAGGUAAUAUCUCUUACUGUAUCAAUUAACAGUUUGAAAAAUAGACAAGCAUUUGAUCUGAAAGUACUAGUGUAGUUUCUCUGUAUAAUCUAAAUGUAGUUUUUUGUUCUGUAUAAUAUAAUAUUAUGACUGAUGGAUGCCUGAAGGCAAAGUGUUCAUCUAAACAGGUAAACUGACUGGUAAAGGAAUUGUGAAUAAUUUUACCUGUAAACUAUAAGUAAACUGGGGUAAUUCCUUACAUGAAAACUCCAUUCUAUUAAGAAAGACACUUCUAUUCUGAAAUACAGUGCAUGUUAGGGGAGCAAUAACAACAAACUAUGAUUAUCAGACUAUUCUCAGAGUAGAGCAGCCGUAAGAAUAAA